GGCGUGCAGGGGGCCGCGCAGGGCCGGAGCCUGUGCCUGCGCCUGCGCCUGCGCCGGGUUUGUCCGGUACGGCUGUGCCGCUCGGUGUGCACCGCUCCUCGGGACAGCGUGUGCCGGGGCCCUCCUCGGGAAAUAUUUCUUCCUUCUAUGGAAACCAACGAGCACCCGGGCCUGCACUCUUGAUAUAAAUACCCGGUGAUGACCGACUUAUUGCGGGCGACCGGGCGACGAAUCCACCGUUGGGACAGCACUGCCGGUGUCAGGCCGUUCUUCCUAGAAAGAAAGAAAGAAAAAAAAUCUAAAAUCUUUAAGAUAUGUGUGGGAUCUGUUGAGUCACAGCCUGAACCACGGAUUGAUCACCUGUGGAAAGGACCCAGUCAGCCCUGAGAGCACAGGUGGAUUUGCCACAAGGUUUCUUACAAUGACUAACAGUAGAAGGAAAUGUGCUCUGAAGGGGUGUGCUUGCAAGUCGGCUCAAGAGAAAUGAAAAUCGUUGUAGCGGGGACCCUGCCUGGGAGCAGAGCAUUACCAAAUACGUUACUAUGCAAAGAAUCUCAUGUUGAAUAAUUUAGAAAUACCUUUUUGUUAGUGGUCAAGUAAAACAUGGCAACAGAGGGUAAUCUCAGGAAAAAGAGGGGAUAAAAACAUCUCUAUCAAGCCCAGACUUGAUGGGAAAGGAAGAGCUGAACAAGUGUGCGUGUCUGGGGGUGUUCAUCUUCUAGACUGCACCCAGAGAAGGAGAAUGAUUGUGAUGCUGCAGUCUCGGAACUCCAGUCAGUACACAAAUGGAAGGAUUUCUGGGCUGAGAUGAAUUUAUCUCCGCAGCUUCUAAUCUUUUGGAUUUUGUGUUCUAGUGCAGUGAAGCUUUUGGGCAUGAUUUAUCAUCACUAUAGCUAACACUGUAUGGGAAAAAAACUGACUUUAGAUCUUACAUCAAAGCUUUUAACAAAGCUUGUUUCCCUGGAUUUUACUUGCUUUCCAUUGUCUCCACCUCUCUGGUGCCUCUUUAAA
rnacentral:lncRNA from 1 species